rnacentral:rRNA from 1 species
UACGAAGGUGGCAAGCGUUGUUCGGAUUUACUGGGCGUAAAGGGAGCGUAGGUGGUUAGGUAAGCCCUCCGGGAAAUCUUCAGGCUUAACCUGAAAAGGUCGGGGGGGACUGCCUGGCUAGAGGACGGGAGAGGAGCGCGGAAUUCCCGGUGUAGCGGUGAAAUGCGUAGAGAUCGGGAGGAAGGCCGGUGGCGAAGGCGGCUUCCUGGACCGACACUGACGCUGAGGCGCGAAAGCUAGGGGAGCAAACGGG